CAACUGGAGAGCGAAGAGACCCGGUGCGCGCUUUCUAGGCUCCCACGCGGCGCUGCCUCCGCCUCCUCUUCCGCGGGAGCAACAGGCGGACACGGAGCCCCGCCUCCCAUUCAAGGACUUUUGAAGCCCCACGGAACCAAUGAGAGGCCUCGCCACUUCCUGGCCCUGCCCACAAUUAGGUCGCGGGGAAAGAGCUGGAGGGCAGAGGCUCUUGGCUCUGAAAUACCUUCAAGCAGGCAUGGGCAAACUUGGGCCCUCCAGGUGUUUUGGACUUCAACACCAUGGUGGGAGUUGAAGUCCAAAACACCUGGAGGGCCCAAGUUUGCCCAUGCCUGCUCCAAAUCUUCCAAAUCGCCAAGGCAGGUGAGGCUUCUGGGAGCUGAACUAGGGAGCUGAACUGAAUUAGGGUUUGGAAAUCAGGGUCUUAGAGGGAGGGAAGCAACCAUGGAGAUCAUCUGACAAGCUGCUGGCUUGUGUGUCAGCAGAGGGGUCAAUCGGCUCCGAGGAACUGUCCAUGGUGCUGACGCCUCCAUACUGAAAGGAAUGCUUCUCACUACCGGUGUUUCCCGGGAAUUAAUACUGUAUUAAUUUUUGCUCCCAAAGAUGCACUAGGUCUUCUUUUCAGGGGAUGUCUUGUUUUUCCAUGAAGAAGAAUUCACAUUUAUUAUACUGUAUACUGUACAUGCGGGGCUUGAGGAAUCCAAGGCCGGAGUUAAAAUUGCUGGAAGAAACAUUAACAACUUUAGGUAUGCAGACGAUACCACUCUGAUGGCCAAAAGUGAGGAAGAACUGAGGAGCCUUAUCACCAAGCUGAAAGAAGAAAGUGCAAAAGCUGGGUUGCAGUUAAACAUCAAGAAAACCAAGAUCAUGGCAACUACACCUAUUGAUAACUGGCAAAUAGAACCAGACAAACUGUGAAUCCUAUCAAGAAUUUAUUGUUACUACUAUUAUUUCCAAAUACAACAGUCUAUGAUUCAAGUUCUUCCUUGACCUAUAUUUCUGUGUGACAUCUGAAACUUUUCUGACAAGAUGAACUGAAUGAAACCUUCACCAAUCUCUGAUAAGCUACGUGGAGGAUCACGUUCACCUGUCUGGCUUAGAGGUUUCUUUAAGCCUUCUCUACCACACUGAGCAAUAGCAGUUAAGGUGGUGUCAAACUGCAUUAAUUCUACAUUGCAGAAGCACACUAAGUAACCAUACCGACCAACUUUUCUGAUUGGGCAAUAUUUGGUGUUCCAUUUUUUCAGCUGCUUUUAAAAUGUCUGUUUUUCUCCCUUCCUUCUCAUUUUCCUUCUCUGUCUUUGGCUUAUUUGAAUUGCUGCAAAUGAAUGCAAAAGUCCUUAGUGCUACAUUAACUUGAUGUGAGGGUUGAAGAAGAAAUUGAAGAAUCUUGUUCUUCCCAGUAGCCUCAGACAAAAACAAACUUUUGCAUCCUCUCCCAAGUUCUCUCUACUUCCUCAUUAAUAACUUUUGUAAUCUUGAGCACAUUCUGAUAUUGCUUGGCCACAUAUAUUCCAGUUUUCAUCUGUUAAAUAUUAAAAGUUAUAAGUUUGCUUAUACAUUUAUGAAGAAAAAUAUAUUCAAUGACAGUUGCAUUAGUCAUGUGGCAAAAUGCAGCAACAUCCAAAAUACACAUCAUAAUAAUGGUCAUUUCUAAUAAAUAUACUUUAUUAGAAAAAGCAAAGUACUUUAUAGAUAGCUUUUGCAAUUUACUGACUUUUUCAUGGGGAAAAGAUCUUAAAAAUUAUCCAGGAGAAAAACAGUUAUGGUGUCAGAGUCCACUUCUACACUGACAAAUAAUCCAGUUUCCAAUUAUCUGCUUUAAACUGGAUGAUAUGGCAGUGUAGACCCAUGUAAGCCAGUUUAAAGCAGGUAGUCUGCAUUCAGAAACUGCAUUAUAUGGUAGUGUUAGAUGGGGACUCCUGCCAACCUAGCAGUUUGAAAACAUGCCAAUGUGAGUAGAUCAAUAGGUACCACUCUGGUGGGAAGGUAAUGGCGCUCCAUGCAGUCAUGCCGGUCACAUGACCUUGGAGGUGUCUACUGACAACGCCGGUUCUUCGGCUUAGAAAUGGAGAUGAGCACCAACCCUCAGAGUCGGUCACGACUGGACUUAGCGUCAGGGGAAAACCUUUACCUUUACCUAGAUGGGGACAGAGACAUAGGACUGCAUUUUCUUUGAGAGUUUGACUAAGAUCUCAACAGACGGGCUGAAUAUGAUGGCGUAUGCCCUUUCCUUUUGCCACGGAGCCCACUGGCUCCCAUCCUACAACACACAGCUACUUCCGGCAGGGCUCCAUGGCAAAAUGGAAGGGGAACUGGCAUAUACCACCAUGGUGGCAACACGGGAGAUUUCCCAUGUUGUAUAGAGAUCAACGGGGUAGCUGGGUGGCGGACAUUUCCCCGCAUGGGAUGGGGUCAGGGGGAACCUGGGUGAUGCAAGGCAUGGGGCAAUGGGUUCCUCACAUUCCCUUCCAGACACUGCAGGAUUCACCACAAUGUGUGGUGAUUCCAGUGGCAAAUGGAAUGAGGACCUUACAAUAGUUUUAACUAAGGUGAAAUGCAAGUAGAAGCUUUACCCUUCUUGGCCUGAGGAUGUAGAUACUAAAAGGCAAGUCAUAAAAUGUCUGUCAUCACUGGUAGAAACAAGGUACUUCCUGCAUCCAGGUAGGAUAUGCAAAACCUCAGAUAACACUAAGCUCUGUUGAAAAGAAGAACGUCAGCCCAAGAAUAAUGCUAGAGAACCUAGAAAAUGUCUACAGAGGACAUUUUUUUGGACAUAGAAAAAAUGAAACCAUGGAUUCUGGUCCUGGGGAUACAAGGGUCAUACUAUAAACUCCUCUUGAAAUCUGGGCUGCCUCUGUCCUAUGUAAGCCUGCAAUCCCUUUUGUUAAGGAAAGACUUCUCAUAGUUUUGACUUUAAUAAUCCAUUAGGUGGCGCCCAAUAUCUAACAUUUUUCUUUCAACUGUCUCCAAAGAAGCCUUGAAACAUUUAUACAACAAAGCUUGGCUUGAAAAAGUGCUAUCAGGUAUCUGUGUAUCUGGAGUGGCAGCAAAGCUUGAUAUUUGAGACUUCCAUUCUGAAAGAGUUGCACUGAUCUAGAUACAUUUAGGUUACUACUUAAAGAGAAGUAUUAUUUUUGAAGAAUAGAAGCGUAUGAUCAUGCAAAGAACAUAAUAUGCCAAAGUUUGGAAAAUUACUUUUUGUAAAUCAUUUGUUCCCAUUACUCAUUAAAGUGUUUGAAAGCUAA